GACGGAGGAUGCAAGUGUUAUCCGGAAUCACUGGGCGUAAAGCGCACGUAGGCGGCUUCUUAAGUCAGGGGUGAAAUCCUGGAGCUCAACUCCAGAACUGCCUUUGAUACUGGGAGGCUCGAGUCCGGGAGAGGUGAGUGGAACUGCGAGUGUAGAGGUGAAAUUCGUAGAUAUUCGCAAGAACACCAGUGGCGAAGGCGGCUCACUGGCCCGGUACUGACGCUGAGGUGCGAAAGCGUGGGGAGCAAACAGG
rnacentral:rRNA from 1 species